rnacentral:rRNA from 1 species
AGGGUUUGAUCCUGGCUCAGGAUGAACGCUGACAGAAUGCUUAACACAUGCAAGUCUACUUGAUCCUUCGGGUGAUGGUGGCGGACGGGUGAGUAACGCGUAAAGAACUUGCCCUGCAGUCUGGGACAACAUUUGGAAACGAAUGCUAAUACCGGAUAUUAUGUGAGUUUCGCAUGAAAUUCAUAUGAAAGCUAUAUGCGCUGCAGGAGAGCUUUGCGUCCUAUUAGCUAGUUGGUGAGGUAACGGCUCACCAAGGCGACGAUCAGUAGCCGGCUUGAGAGAGUGAACGGCCACAUUGGGACUGAGACACGGCCCAA